GGAGAGAUGGCCGAGUGGUUCAAGGCAUAGCAUUGGAACUGCUACGCUAGGCUACCUAUUUUCCA
rfam:Triticum aestivum genome assembly, contig: Triticum_aestivum_CS42_TGACv1_scaffold_377040_5AL